rnacentral:ncRNA from 1 species
AAAAAGCUUGGUCCUGGCUUUAUUAUCAGCUUUUACUAAAUUUAUACAUGCAAGUAUCCACACCCCUGUGAGAAUGCCCUCGAACUUCCUUUUUGGAAACGAGGAGCAGACAUCAGGCCCGCAUUAUGCAGCCCAAGACGUCUUGCUUUGCCACACCCCUAAGGGAAUUCAGCAGUGAUAAACAUUAAGCCAUGAGUGAAAACUCGACUUAGUGAAGGUAUUUAAGGGCCGGUAAAACUCGUGCCAGCCACCGCGGUUAUACGAGAGACCCGAGUUGAUGGAUUUCGGCGUAAAGUGUGGUUAGGAAAUUUGCCGUCUAAAGUUAAACCCCCCCAGAACAGUUAUACGCUCCCGGAGGGAGGAAGCCCGACCACGAAAGUAGCUUUAAGCCUCCGACCCCACGACAGCUAUGAUACAAACUGGGAUUAGAUACCCCACUAUGCAUAGCCGUAAACUUUGAUAGAGAUAUACAACCUCUAUCCGCCAGGGUACUACGAGCGCUAGCUUAAAACCCAAAGGACUUGGCGGUGCUUCAGUCCCCCUAGAGGAGCCUGUCCUAGAACCGAUAAUCCCCGUUCAACCUCACCAUUUCUUGUUCAUCCCGCCUAUAUACCGCCGUCGCCAGUCUACCCUCUAAAGGUUUUAAAGUAGGCAAAAUAGGUAAUCCUUAAAACGUCAGGUCGAGGUGUAGCGAAUGAAGUGGGAAGAGAUGGGCUACAUUCUCUAAACUAGAUGCAUUCACGGAAGGGGUUUUGAAAUUACUCCCUGAAGGCGGAUUUAGUAGUAAGCAUGAAAAUAGAGAGUUCAGCUGAAACCGGCUCUGAAGCGCGUACACACCGCCCGUCACUCUCCCCGAACCCUUAUGUUCUUAUUAAUAAAAAAUUUUAUUUUCAAGGGGAGGCAAGUCGUAACAUGGUAAGUGUACCGGAAGGUGCACUUGGAUAA